CAUUCGACCUAGCUUUGAGAAAUCAUGGAUCUUUACUGAAAGCCGGUGUUCUCCGAGAAGUUGGCCCACAAUGAUGAUUCCGAGGGAGCAUGUUGAGAUGAUUCGGGAUUUGGAUGUGUUUUUGAAAUAUCCUUGGGGUCGGUACAGUUUUGAUAUGACGCUGCAAUGCAUUAAGUCUAGAUCUUUACUUCAAUUGGCUUAGGCCACUGUUGCCAUCCAAGGUUUUAUACACGCUUUGGUCCUUGUAUUUGUGGAGGCUAUGCCGGCCAUCCUUUCAGUAGGUUGUGAUAGAACCGAACCAGAAUCCGACGAUGAACAUAUGUUCCCUGUAAUUUCUUUGAAAUUAGAUAAAGUGUGGGAAUUGGAUGGAGAAGAUCAGGUCGAUGUUCUGUCUAUCAUACCUUCGGCUGAUGUUGUCACUGGGGUGGAAGAUUGCGGUUGGGUUGAUGAGGUAAGUGACCCCAGUGUUCAAGUAUUGUUAAAGCGCCUUGAAGAAGGUGUCAAGUUCAGCCGUUAGAUGUUUAUUGGUUGUAUUAGAGGUUGGGGUCAAUAUUCGAAGGACAAUUUUCCGCUGCACCCGUUGACUUUCAUUAGAAACCCAAUGAGGGUUGUGUAUUUUAUUAUAAUCUACCUAUGUUUUCUUUUGGAUUAUUCCUCUAUCCUCCUUCUUUAUUUUGAACUGUUGUUCUACCAGUCUUUCAUCUUCUGAACUAGUAGUAUCUGUAUUUUUCUUUCAAUCUGUUGGUUAUACCUUCUAACCU